rnacentral:rRNA from 4 species
GCUAAUCCUGGUCGGACAUCAGGAGGUUAGUGCAAUGGCAUAAGCCAGCUUGACUGCGAGCGUGACGGCGCGAGCAGGUGCGAAAGCAGGUCAUAGUGAUCCGGUGGUUCUGAAUGGAAGGGCCAUCGCUCAACGGAUAAAAGGUACUCCGGGGAUAACAGGCUGAUACCGCCCAAGAGUUCAUAUCGACGGCGGUGUUUGGCACCUCGAUGUCGGCUCAUCACAUCCUGGGGCUGAAGUAGGUCCCAAGGGUAUGGCUGUUCGCCAUUUAAAGUGGUACGCGAGCUGGGUUUAGAACGUCGUGAGACAGUUCGGUCCCUAUCUGCCGUGGGCGCUGGAGAACUGAGGGGGGCUGCUCCUAGUACGAGAGGACCGGAGUGGACGCAUCACUGGUGUUCGGGUUGUCAUGCCAAUGGCACUGCCCGGUAGCUAAAUGCGGAAGAGAUAAGUGCUGAAAGCAUCUAAGCACGAAACUUGCCCCGA